UGAUCAGCCACACUGGAACUGAGACACGGUCCAGACUCCUACGGGAGGCAGCAGUGGGGAAUAUUGGACAAUGGGGGCAACCCUGAUCCAGCCAUGCCGCGUGUGUGAAGAAGGCCUUCGGGUUGUAAAGCACUUUUGUUGGGGAAGAAACCGGCCGGGUUAAUACCCUGGUUGAAUGACGGUACCCAAAGAAUAAGCACCGGCUAACUUCGUGCCAGCAGCCGCGGUAAUACGAAGGGUGCAAGCGUUAAUCGGAAUUACUGGGCGUAAAGCGCACGCAGGCGGUCUGUCAAGUCGGAUGUGAAAUCCCCGGGCUCAACCUGGGAACUGCAUUCGAAACUGGCAGGCUAGAGUCUUGUAGAGGGGGGUAGAAUUCCAGGUGUAGCGGUGAAAUGCGUAGAGAUCUGGAGGAAUACCGGUGGCGAAGGCGGCCCCCUGGACAAAGACUGACGCUCAGGUGCGAAAGCGUGGGGAGCAAACAGGAUUAGAUACCCUGGUAGUCCACGCCGUAAACGAUGUCGACUUGGAGGUUGUGCCCUUGAGGCGUGGCUUCCGGAGCUAACGCAUUAAGCGCCCCGCCUGGGGAGUACGGCCGCAAGGCUAAAACUCAAAGGAAUUGACGGGGCCCGCACAAGCGGCGGAGCAUGCGGCUUAAUUCGAUGCAACGCGAAGACCUUACCUGGGC
rnacentral:rRNA from 1 species